rnacentral:rRNA from 1 species
CCUGAAAUCGGUUUAUCCGGAGCUAGGGUUUAAUGGCCGGAAGAGCCCAGCACCUCUGCUGGGUUCGGUGCGCUCUCGACGUCCCUUGAAAAUCCGCGGGAAGGAAUAAUUCUCACGUCAGGUCGUACUCAUAACCGCAGCAGGUCUCCAAGGUG